AUUCCUACGGGAGGCAGCAGUGGGGAAUCUUCCGCAAUGGGCGAAAGCCUGACGGAGCAACGCCGCGUGAGUGAAGAAGGCCUUCGGGUCGUAAAACUCUGUCUUCAGGGAAGAAAAAAAUGACGGUACCUGAGGAGGAAGCCCCGGCUAACUACGUGCCAGCAGCCGCGGUAAAACGUAGGGGGCGAGCGUUGUCCGGAAUUACUGGGCGUAAAGGGCGCGUAGGCGGUCAUUUAAGUCAGAGGUGAAAACUACCGGCUCAACCGGUAGCCUGCCUUUGAAACUGGAUGACUUGAGGGCAGGAGAGGGGAGUGGAAUUCCCAGUGUAGCGGUGAAAUGCGUAGAUAUUGGGAGGAACACCAGUGGCGAAGGCGGCUCUCUGGCCUGUUUCUGACGCUGAGGCGCGAAAGCGUGGGGAGCGAACGGGAUUAGAUACCCCGGUAGUCCACGCCGUAAACGAUGGGUGCUAGGUGUAGGAGGUAUCGACCCCUUCUGUGCCGUAGCUAACGCAAUAAGCACCCCGCCUGGGGAGUACGAUCGCAAGAUUGAAACUCAAAUGAAUUGACGGAAU
rnacentral:rRNA from 1 species